AUUGAACGCUGGCGGCAUGCUUUACACAUGCAAGUCGAACGGUAACAGGCCGCAAGGUGCUGACGAGUGGCGAACGGGUGAGUAAUGCAUCGGAACGUGCCCAGUCGUGGGGGAUAACGCAGCGAAAGCUGUGCUAAUACCGCAUACGAUCUAUGGAUGAAAGCGGGGGACCGUAAGGCCUCGCGCGAUUGGAGCGGCCGAUGUCAGAUUAGGUAGUUGGGGGGGUAAAGGCCUACCAAGCCGACGAUCUGUAGCUGGUCUGAGAGGACGACCAGCCACACUGGGACUGAGACACGGCCCAGACUCCUACGGGAGGCAGCAGUGGGGAAUUUUGGACAAUGGGCGCAAGCCUGAUCCAGCAAUGCCGCGUGCAGGAAGAAGGCCUUCGGGUUGUAAACUGCUUUUGUACGGAACGAAACGGCCUGGGUUAAUACCCUGGGCUAAUGACGGUACCGUAAGAAUAAGCACCGGCUAACUACGUGCCAGCCGCCGCGGUAAAAC
rnacentral:rRNA from 1 species